rnacentral:ncRNA from 2 species
GGGGAAGUCCGGUGUGAAUCCGGCACUGACCCGCAACCGUGUGGUGCAUCGUGCACCGAGUCGGAACACCC